rnacentral:rRNA from 1 species
AUUGAACGCUGGCGGCAUGCUUUACACAUGCAAGUCGAACGGUAACAGGCCUUCUGGUGCUGACGAUUGGCGGACGGGUGAGUAAUGCAUCGGAACGUACCCAGAGGUUGGGUUUAACGCAGCUAAAGCUGUGCUAAUACCGCAUGUGAUCUGAGGAUGAAAUCGGGGGACCGCGCAGCAAUGUUUCGCCUCGCGCCUUUGGACCGGCCGAUGUCGGAUUAGCUAGUUGGUGGGGUAAUGGCCUACCAAGGCGACGAUCCGUAGCUGGUCUGAGAGAACGAUAAGCCGCACGGGGAGUGAGACACGGACAAGGGUACUGCGGGAGGCAGCAGUGGGGAAUGGUGGACAAUGGGGGGAAGCAUGGUACAGAAAGGCGGCGUGCGGGAAGAAGGCGUUCGGGUUGGGAACAGGGUUUGGCAGGAACGAAACGGUGUCCGCUAAGACCGGGCGUGAAUGACGGUAACGGGAGAAUAAGCACCGGCUAACUACGUG